rnacentral:rRNA from 1 species
AUUGAACGCUGGCGGCAGGCCUAACACAUGCAAGUCGAGCGAGCGGCGGACGGGUGAGUAAUAUCUGGGAAACUGCCUGAUGGAGGGGGAUAACUACUGGAAACGGUAGCUAAUACCGCAUACCAUCAGAUGUGCCCCGAUGGGAUUAGGUAGUAGGUGGGGUAACGGCUCACCUAGGCGACGAUCCCUAGCUGGGAUGUGAGGAUGACCAGCCACACUGGAACUGAGACACGGUCCAGACUCCUACGGGAGGCAGCAGGGGGGAAUAAUGGGAAAUGGGCGCAAGCCUGAUGCAGCCAUGCCGCGUGUAUGAAGAAGGGCUUCGGGGUGUAAAGUACUUUCAGCGGGGAGGCGUUACCCGCAGAAGAAGCACCGGCUAACUCCGUGCCAGCAGCCGCGGUAAUAC